rnacentral:rRNA from 1 species
UACGGAGGGUGCAAGCGUUAUCCGGAUUCACUGGGUUUAAAGGGUGCGUAGGCGGGCAGGUAAGUCCGUGGUGAAAUCUCUGAGCUUAACUCAGAAACUGCCAUGGAUACUAUUUGUCUUGAAUAUUGUGGAGGUAAGCGGAAUAUGUCAUGUAGCGGUGAAAUGCUUAGAUAUGACAUAGAACACCAAUUGCGAAGGCAGCUUACUACACAGUUAUUGACACUGAGGCACGAAAGUGUGGGGAUCAAACAGG